rnacentral:rRNA from 1 species
GACGAACGCUGGCGGCGUGCUUAACACAUGCAAGUCGAACGAAAGGACCCGGCUUUUGUUUCUUUCUCGUUUGGCGAGCGGGGGAGUGACACGCGUGUAACCUGCCCUUAUCUUUCUGAUAACUUCAGGAAACUCGGGCUAAAACCGCGUAUAAUCUCCUGCUCCGUGUGGUUGGUUGGAAAAUGUCGGCGGUGGGGGAUCGUAUCGCGGGUUAUCAGCUUGUUGAGCUGGUAGUUGCGUACGAGGGCUUUGACGGGUAGCCCGCCUGGGAGGGUGACCGGCCACCAGGGGACUGAGAGACGGACCAGAAUGGUACGGGAGGCAGUAGUGGGGAGUCUUGCAGAAUGGGCGGAAGUCUGAUGUAGAAACGCCGCGUGCGGGAUGAUGGGCUUUGGGUUGUAAACAGAUUUGGAAUGUGACGAAGAGUGAGUGACGGUAAUGAGUAAGAAAGCAACGGCUAACUACGUG